rnacentral:rRNA from 1 species
UACGAAGGGGGCUAGCGUUGUUCGGAGUCACUGGGCGUAAAGCGCACGUAGGCGGAUGUGCCAGUCAGGGGUGAAAUCCCGGAGCUCAACUUCGGAACUGCCUCUGAUACAGCACGUCUUGAGUCCGGAAGAGGUGGGUGGAAUUCCUAGUGUAGAGGUGAAAUUCGUAGAUAUCAGGAGGAACACCAAUAGCGAAGGCAGCUCGCUGGGACGUUACUGACACUGAGGCGCGAAAGCGUGGGGAGCGAACAGG